rnacentral:misc_RNA from 1 species
AAGUAUAAGAUUCCCAUUAAGACUGAUAGAAGCUAAGUGCUCAUCUUUACAAUUGUACAUUGCACCACUAAUAGUAUUGGUAUGACCUUUCAACCAUUUGAUGCAACGCUUCCGCUGCAAAUCCCAUAUUCGUAUAACUUGGCCACUACCUCCAGAACAUAUGUAUCGGGAUGCUUUGCUGCUAAAGUUAACUGUUGAAAUAGACUCCUCGAUAUUGUCAGCACUAUCAGUGCCGGCCAGUGGUACAGUCCCCAAACUCUGUCCAUUUUUCCUCCACAAAGAUAUCUUCUUGUCAUCUCCAGCGCUUGCCACCACCAAAUUAGUGUGAUUCCACUUGACGGAAU